rnacentral:lncRNA from 1 species
GGAGUGAUCGAGAUCAGUAUUAACGGUCUUCGGUUCAACUUUGGAUACGAAAGAGUUAAACAUACAAAACUCAACCUUGGAAAAUAAGGAGGUCUGUUUUGCCUUCAGUUGUGAUCGGGUUAGGACCUUUUCAGAGACAUCACCAACCACUUGAGAGAUAGGAUGAUCUCUGGUCCAUUUGGUGAGAGGAGGGUAGUUUGGAUCACAGGUUGGGUCUAGUUCAGCAUUGAUCAUUUCUUCUGGCUCGGAUUGGCUUUCGUAGUCGAGCGACAUAUCAGCAUGCUCCCCUUCGAUAGAUGAGCUAUUAGAAGCUUGAGGUUCAGAGGUUGCUUGUGGUGCUGGGCUUUCAGACGUUGAUGCACCUUCGGUUGGUGAAGCACUUUCGGUUGGAGAAGUACUUUCUGGAGUAUUUGGAGAACUUGGCUCCCCCUCAACAUGUGAGCUUGGCUCCCCCUCAACAUGUGAGCUUGGUUCCCCCUCAACUUGUGAGCUUGGCUCCCCCUCAACUUGUGAGCUUGGCUCCCCCUCAACUGAAGCAUCGUUGGAUGGAGGUUCAUUAGAAUUCGAUCCUCCUUCGUUCAUUCUCCUGGCAGCUUCUUCGACAAUUUGUUUCAUGUGGUCUACCUUGUUGUCUGCUGCACCUGCUUCUGAGAGAGUAGCUUUUUCUGGUUCGUCAAAGAGCUCCAUAAACUUCUCGUAUAGAUUAGCGAUCGAGACUGUGACUUGGCCAGUUUGAGGAAAGAUUUCCCCAGAUGUGUCUUCUUUGGCCUGUAGCUUUUUGACAUAGCUAUCAUCAAAAGUCACGUAAUAGGUCUCUUCGAUUUUUCUCGAACGCUUGUUUAGGACUCUGUAUGCUUUGGAAGUGAGAGAGUAACCCAGAAAUAUUCCCUCGUCGGCUUUGACAUCGAACUUGUUGCGGUGUUCUUUAGAGUUAAAGAUGAAACACCGUGAGCCGAACACGUGGAAAAAUUUUACAUUGGGCUUUCUGUUGUUGAGAAUCUCAUAAGGCGUGAGCAUGAAGGGCUUGUUGAGAUAUGACCUGUUCUGUGUAAAACAAGCAGCAGAAAUAGCAUCAGCCCAAAAAUAAAGAGGUAUGGAAGCGAAACUUAGCAUAGUUCGAGCAGCUUC